AGUACCCUGGUGCACAUUCUAUUCCAGCUUUACAAGCGAUGAACAGUUUCCAUAUCAGGAGUAGAUGCAGUCAUAGUGUUUACACUUAACAUGGGAAAUGUUCUUUGAUGUUGGCCUGGAUGUCGGUAUCAGAUACGACGGCGAGGUUGGGGCAACCUGACACACAUGAGCAUCAAUAGACAUGUUUACCUGUACUAGUUGAGAGCCAAGGUUGAAGUCAUCCAUGUGUGAAAAAUGCUGUCUUUGUCGAACUGCAUUAUUAAAGUACAUCAAGCUGAGACAUCAUAUGCGUUCAUCACAGUUUGUGACGGAUUACGGAUACCAACGAACUAGCACUUGUUUGGCAGCGACUAGACACUGAACCGGUUAACCACAAUCAAGAGAGAGACAGACAAGGUUUAUCACACCGCAACUCGCCAUACGAUGUUGACGAGGAAACACUAAUGAUUACUGUUUCAAGAUCAGAUCUUGUGGCAAGACAUAUCGGUUUCGGGUUUGAGGUCCUCGGCGCAGAACUUGGACAUUCUCUCAUUAUAAUAGAGCAAAUCAAAGCUGCACACCCUCUCUCACUUUAUAUGCAGAUCUUAUACAUGCUUGCCAAGUGGAAGGAGAAGAACGGGAGAUCUGCCACCAGACUGGUCCUCGUCAGAGUGUUGUGGAGAUGCAAUGGCAGAUGUACCAUUGAGUGGGAGGAAAUUCUCAACAUCCUUCAGGCAUCAUCAUCUGUGCCAGUUAA